rnacentral:rRNA from 1 species
AUUGAACGCUGGCGGCAGGCUUAACACAUGCAAGUCGAGCGGAGUGAUGGUGCUUGCACUAUCACUUAGCGGCGGACGGGUGAGUAAUGCUUAGGAAUCUGCCUAUUAGUGGGGGACAACAUCUCGAAAGUGACGCUAAUACCGCAUACGUCCUACGGGAGAAAGCAGGGGAUCACUUGUGACCUUGCGCUAAUAGAUGAGCCUAAGUCGGAUUAGCAUGUUGGUGGGGUAAAGGCCUACCAAGGCGACGAUCUGUAGCGGGUCUGAGAGGAGGAUCCGCCACACUGGAAAUGAGACACGGACAGACUCCUACGGGAGGCAGCAGUGAGGAAUAUUGGACAAUGGGGGGAACCCUGAUCCAGCCAUGCCGCGUGUGUGAAGAAGGCCUUAUGGUUGUAAAGCACUUUAAGCGAGGAGGAGGCUCUUUUGGUUAAUACCCAAGAUGAGUGGACGUUACUCGCAGAAUAAGCACCGGCUAACUCUGUGCCAGCCGCCGCCGUAA